CUGAGAAGCUGAGAAUCCCUCCUGCGAGGCCCACAUAGCCAAGAUAACCAGGAUAACGUAAAUGAAAAGAGCAACAUAAAACAUAAAAUUGAGCAGGUCAAUCAAUGGCGCUAACGUCAGACAUUGUAUACAAUACAUAAUAUAUUCCUAUCACGUCAAUUAAUGGGAAAAGCACUAAAUCUUCAAAGAAGGGAAGAUCAGCUGGGAAUAAAAGCAAAAGAAGAAAUAGAUGGAACAUUUCACGCAACCACGACCUCAAAUUCGUUUAAUAAGCAAAGAUGGUGGAGAAACAAUCAAAUCAUCAAAUGAAGGCAAAAACCCUACGCCAGCCAACAGAAGUGGAGGCAAAACGUAACGAUUAAUAGGAGAGGAAAAUACCCACCUGACAUAAUAUGAGGAGCAACAUGAAACGUAAAUCAGCAUAAAACCUGA